GAUGAACGCUAGCUACAGGCUUAACACAUGCAAGUCGAGGGGCAGCACAGUGUAGCAAUACACGGGUGGCGACCGGCGCACGGGUGCGUAACACGUAUCCAAUCUGCCCGUUACUCGGGGAUAGCCUUCUGAAAGGAAGAUUAAUACCCGAUGGCAUGUAUUUCCGGCAUCGGAGAUACAUUAAAGAUUUAUCGGUAACGGAUGAGGAUGCGUACGAUUAGCUAGUUGGCGGGGUAACGGCCCACUAAGGCGACGAUCGUUAGGGGUUCUGAGAGGAAGGUCCCCCACACUGGAACUGAGACACGGUCCAGACUCCUACGGGAGGCAGCAGUGAGGAAUAUUGGUCAAUGGUCGGAAGACUGAACCAGCCAAGUAGCGUGAAGGAUGACUGCCCUACGGGUUGUAAACUUCUUUUGUUUGGGAAUAAAAGACGCUACGUGUAGCGUUCUGCAUGUACCUUACGAAUAAGCAUCGGCUAAUUCCGUG
rnacentral:rRNA from 1 species